AACAAACUAGUUCAGUGGUUAGAACGUCAGACUCAUACUCUGAAUGUCGUGGGUUCAAGUCCCCCGUUUGUUU
rnacentral:tRNA from 1 species